ACCGAAAAAGUUCAGUUGGGAGAGCGGUAGACUACAGAUCAAAAGGUCCCUGGUUCGAACCCGGGAUUCGGCA
rnacentral:tRNA from 1 species